GACGUAGGGCGCGAGCGUUGUCCGGAUUUAUUGGGCGUAAAGAGCUCGUAGGCGGCUUGUCGCGUCGACUGUGAAAACCCGCGGCUCAACUGCGGGCUUGCAGCCGAUACGGGCAGGCUAGAGUUCGGUAGGGGAGACUGGAAUUCCUGGUGUAGCGGUGAAAUGCGCAGAUAUCAGGAGGAACACCGGUGGCGAAGGCAGCUCGCUGGGACGGUAUUGACGCUAAGGCGCGAAAGCGUGGGGAGCGAACAGG
rnacentral:rRNA from 1 species